GAGAGGAGAGAGAGUUGGGGGGGGGGAAUACAGAAGAGGAGGAGGAGGAGGAGAAAAAGGCAUCUCUCUCUCUACUGCCUCCCCCCUCGCCGCUUUCCCAGUUUUCUGA